GUAUUUGUAGUCUGAGGGCAAAAUUCCACCCUUCCAAUAUGGAGAUCCGGGUUCGAGUCCCGGCAAAUGCA
rfam:Entamoeba invadens IP1 unplaced genomic scaffold scaff_1105074725585, whole genome shotgun sequence.